UUUUCAGUGUGUAAACACGGGUCCACAAAUGCCAGGUUAUCCAUUAUUAGGUAGGUCUUCCAGUCCAGGAUUAUGGAACACUAAAUUUUAGAUUGCCCCCUAUAAAAGCUCAUUUCCUCUUUUUUUUUAUUUAAACCAUCUCAAGCCAAGCUGCCCCCCACUCCUCCACCAACAACCCGCGGCCAGCAUCCCCGGGGAAAGGCUGUUGACCACGGCCCAAGGUUAAGACAAGCUGAACAAAGCAGCCAAUCAGCGGAGGAGGGCUCCGGGGUGCUGAUGCUCGGAGACAAAUAGUACGGUGCCGAGCGGAUCGAUGACUACUUGAUUGCGCAUGAAUACAACAUACAUGUUGCCAAUGCUUUGCCAGCGCUCCCAGCGGGCGCCCAUGCAGAUCAGAGAGCGUAGGAAGAACUGAUAAGGGAUCCCCCGUGUGCAAACCUACGCUCUCUCCUCCCCAGCCGGAAAGCAUCCUACAGGAGGACCAGGACCGCAGCAUCCCUGUGCUGGAAUGUUCUCAUUCAAAGAUUAAGAAAUCACCAUCUAUGCGAUCUCUAGGACAAAAGAGAGCAUGAGGCAGGGAAGAGUGUUUCUCAGAACAUCUCAUCUAAGGAGGAAACUUUUUGUUCAUCACCACUUAUAAAGGUAUGCAAAGAUCACUGAAUAGUCAAGUGUUAGUAAACUUCUGUUAAACCGCUCUGUAGAGAUGUUCUGCUAUCUCUGUGUGGAGUAGAGGGGAGUGGAGUGGAUACCCAAACUGAUGAAAACAUGGAAUCUUGCUAUAUUGAAGUAAAUAUAGUUCUAACACAUGUGUCUUAAUCUAUGGAACCAUGAUUUCAUUCUUAUAAAUAUUCCUUUUACUACUACAGAUCUUAAUUGAAUCAUACCUUCUUCUCUUGUGUGAUUUUUGUGUAAUUUGGGCAUGGCCACCAACCUUCAACUCUUCCCUUGAUCUGGGAUGAGGCUGGCUCACUCAAUACAACUAUAUUCAAUCUCAACAGGUUGGGAUAGUUCCCAAAAAAGGCAGCCCUUUUGCUACAACUCACUCUCAGGGUCCUAAGAAUAAUUGAUAUAGGGAAGCCAUACAUUUGUUAUUCAGAGAUUUAGCUCCUAAGUCCCCAGUAGUUGCUUCCAAUUUAAACAAAUCAGCCAAGAUUAUAUCAUUAAUUAUUAAUUAGUCUGACAUGAUCUCGAGGUCCAGCCCUAUCCACAGCUUCAGGGGUCCUUGACUAG
rnacentral:lncRNA from 1 species